rnacentral:rRNA from 1 species
AAACACGGACCAAGGAGUCUAGCAUGUGCGCGAGUCAUUGGGACAUAACUAAACCUAAAGGCGCAAUGAAAGUGAAGGUUCGCCUUGCGCGAACCGAGGGAAGAUGGGCGGUCCACCACAAGUGGCCGCCCCGCACUCCCGGGGCGUCUCGUUCUCAUCGCGAGAAGAGGCGCACCAAGAGCGUACACGCUGGGACCCGAAAGAUGGUGAACUAUGCCUGGUCAGGACGAAGUCAGGGGAAACCCUGAUGGAGGUCCGUAGCGAUUCUGACGUGCAAAUCGAUCGUCGGAACUGGGUAUAGGGGCGAAAGACUAAUCGAACCAUCUAGUAGCUGGUUCCCUCCGAAGUUUCCCUCAGGAUAGCUGGCGCUCGUAGCGCACGAGUCUCAUCCGGUAAAGCGAAUGAUUAGAGGCAUUGGGGUCGAAACGGCCUCAACCUAUUCUCAAACUUUAAAUGGGUGAGAUCUCCGGCUUGCUCGAACUAUUCAUUGAAGCCGUGAGACACGGAUCAGAGUGCCAAGUGGGCCAUUUUUGGUAAGCAGAACUGGCGCUGUGGGAUGAACCAAACGCCGAGUUAAAGCGCCCAAAUCGACGCUUAUAGGAUACCAUGAAAGGCGUUGGUAACUUAAGACAGCAGGACGGUGGCCAUGGAAGUCGGAAUCCG